rnacentral:rRNA from 1 species
AGGCAGCAGUGGGGAAUCUUGCGCAAUGGGCGAAAGCCUGACGCAGCGACGCCGCGUGAGGGAUGACGGCCUUCGGGUUGUAAACCUCUUUCAGCUCUGACGAAGCGAGAGUGACGGUAGGAGCAGAAGAAGCACCGGCCAACUACGUGCCAGCAGCCGCGGUAAUACGUAGGGUGCAAGCGUUGUCCGGAAUUAUUGGGCGUAAAGAGCUCGUAGGCGGUCUGUCGCGUCGAAUGUGAAAACCCGGGGCUCAACCCCGGGCCUGCAUUCGAUACGGGCAGACUAGAGUUCGGUAGGGGAGUCUGGAAUUCCUGGUGUAGCGGUGAAAUGCGCAGAUAUCAGGAGGAACACCGGUGGCGAAGGCGGGACUCUGGGCCGAUACUGACGCUGAGGAGCGAAAGCGUGGGGAGCAAACAGGAUUAGAUACCCUGGUAG